rnacentral:rRNA from 1 species
AUUGAACGCUGGCGGAAUGCUUUACACAUGCAAGUCGAACGGCAGCACGGGGCAACCUGGUGGCGAGUGGCGAACGGGUGAGUAAUACAUCGGAACGUGCCCAGUCGUGGGGGAUAACGUAGCGAAAGCUACGCUAAUACCGCAUACGAUCUACGGAUGAAAGCGGGGGAUCGCAAGACCUCGCGCGAUUGGAGCGGCCGAUGGCAGAUUAGGUAGUUGGUGGGGUAAAGGCUCACCAAGCCGCCGAUUUGUAGCUGGUCUGAGAGGAAGACCAGCCACACUGGGACGGAGACACGGGCCAGACUCCUACGGGAGGCAGCAGUGGGGAAUUUUGGACAAUGGGCGAAAGCCUGAUCCAGCCAUUCCGCGUGCAGGAUGAAGGCCCUCGGGUUGUAAACUGCUUUUGUACGGAACGAAAAGGCUCUGGUUAAUACCUGGGGCUCAUGACGGUACCGUAAGAAUAAGCACCGGCUAACUACGUGCCAGCCGCCGCGGUAA